AUUCCAGCUCCAAUAGCGUAUAUUAAAGUUGUUGCAGUUAAAAAGCUCGUAGUUGGAUUUUGGGUUUGGUUUUAGUUCGGUUUACUAUAUGUAAUACUGUCUAGGCCGCCCUUCUUCUCGAGGCCUCUGGGUUCACUUAUCGUGCGUUCAGUAGAGUUCGGGACUUUUACCGUGAGAAAAUUAGAGUGUUCAAAGCAGGCUUUUGCUUGAAUAUUGCAGCAUGGAAUAAUGGAAUAGGAUCAUGAUCUUAUUUUGUUGGUUUCUGAGAUCAAGAUAAUGAUUAAUAGGGAUAGUUGGGGGCAUUAAUAUUUAGUUGUCAGAGGUGAAAUUCUUAGAUUUACAAAAGAUUAACUUCUGCGAAAGCAUUUGCCAAGGAUGUUUUCAUUA
rnacentral:rRNA from 1 species